GGAAUCAGUUAUGCCCCUCCAGCCCAGAGCCCGGCCAAUCACCUUUCAUCCCACCAGAGAAGCCUCUCCAGUUGGCAAAGACCAUCAGAGGCAGUCCUUCACGGUUGAAGUCCUUGAUAGCCUGAUAGGUCUUAAACGCAGAGUCUGGGAACCAAACCUGGCCAGCCUGCUGGAUUAUCUAUUGGGGAAAGUCAAAAAGGAAGACACAAUGAACAACAGAGUUUGAAGGGGAAUUUCUGUAAGUUGGAGGAAGAAGAGCUUCCAAGACAAAAGAGCUCUUACCUGGCUCUGCCAACCACCACAGUUUGUGCCCAGGGUUGCAUGAUCUCUGAGAAAGAGCCAUAGUCAAAAAAUCCACUCAGCCACUGACCUUUCUGAGCUAUAGAAGGGAAAGGAAGAGAACAAAAAGAGAAUAAAGACCAUCAAUACACUGAAAAUGCACUGGAACUGGCAAAUUUAAGGCACACAGUGAGAGAGAGAGAGAGAGACGCAGAGACAUAGGCAGAGGGAGAAGCAGGCUCCAUGCACCGGGAGCCCGACGUGGGAUUCGAUCCCGGGUCUCCAGGAUCGCGCCCUGGGCCAAAGGCAGGCGCUCAACUGCUGUGCCACCCAGGGAUCCCCUUGGUUAGUGAUUAAAAGGAAGACUGACAGCCUGAGGGCCAGGGUACCAAAGGACCCUCAAAUAUAUACCUACUUGGGUGAGGGCGGCCUGCUAGCAUCCAUCGAGGAUCGUAUGGGGCCUUCGUGGGAACAAACUCGAUGAUUCUAUCUAUAGGAUCCUUGGAGUUCAGGAGAGGAACUAAACUGCGCACAUUCUGAAAGGUAUACGGGAAGAAAGCACAGCAAUCAGAGAACAGCAGGACCAGAGUCCCAACUCAGCCACGAUCAUUACAAAGACAACAGGGACCAAAUACAGAAUCAUAUCCAUCUGUCCCAGUCAUCAGCUACAGGCAUCACAACUAUAUGCCAAGCCCUGAGAACAGGUCUCAAGUCUCACGUAGGAGCCUGGCAAAAAGUGGUACAUUCUGACUCCUGAUUUCAGUGUACCCAUGCUUUAUGGGAAGCUUCCCAGGGGGUUAAGGGGAGUGGAAGAGGUGGAUUGCUAUUACAAAGGAGAAAACCCAGAGUGAUCUGAGCCCAGAUAAGCCAUGAAGGCUUCUGUGUUUGGGAAAACAUCAGAAAGGGGUCUAACAAAUGAUAUCCAAAGGCAUUUUAAAGGUAGAAGCCUUUCCUGUAGAUGGCUGUAGGAAAGAGAAACCACUACCUUUCAGUGGAAUAUUUCAUAAAAUAGUUUCUCCACC